UACGGAGGUGGCAAGCGUUGCUCGGAAUCACUGGGCGUAAAGGGCGCGUAGGCGGGGAGGUAAGUCGGGUGUGAAAUCCCUCGGCCCAACUGAGGAACUGCGCCUGAGACUGCUUCUCUUGAGUCCCGGAGAGGAAGAUGGAAUUCCCGGUGUAGCGGUGAAAUGUGUAGAGAUCGGGAGGAACACCGGUGGCGAAGGCGGUCUUCUGGACGGUGACUGACGCUGAGGCGCGAAAGCGUGGGGAGCAAACGGG
rnacentral:rRNA from 1 species